GUUUAAAUGUCUUUUGCCCUGUAGCACAUAGAGAUUGGCUGAAAAUGUAUAACUGAAUGAAUUUUCUCUGCAGGUUGGUCUGGAAAAGAGUCCAUUGAUGUCUUUGUUAAGGCUUGUCGCUCUGUACUUUGUGCUGUUCUCAUUGUGAACUGAGGGGGGCGCAAAUGUAAUGUCAAAACCUGCAGAAUGAAGCUCCAAUGCACCAUAUGUGUGUGUCAGAAUGUGAUAUAAGAACUGAAGGAGACAGAGAGAGUCCAAAGUGAGCCAGUCACCACAGUUCAACCAUGGAAUAUUACAUAAAGGCAUUCAUUCUAGCUGUUUAUUUCAGUGUGUGCUCUGUAAAGGGCGACUCUGUUACUCAACCUAAAGAUGAGACGGGUCUUGAAGGCAGCAUGGUGACCCUCAGCUGUCAGUAUGAGACCACAGCGUCCACUGCUAAUCAGUACCUCUUCUGGUAUCAGCAGAAACCAAAUGGAUUCCCAAAAUAUAUUCUACUGAAAACAUCUCUUAGACAAGACAAUGGCCCAGAUUUUAAGAGGAGAUUCAAUGCUACACUCAACACAGACACAAAAGCUGUUAAUCUGACGAUCCAGGAUCUGCAAGUGUCUGACUCUGCUGUGUACUACUGUGCUCUGCAGCCCACAGUGACAGCUGCAGACUCAGCUCUCAUACAAAAACAAUCAUAGUC